rnacentral:rRNA from 1 species
GAUGAACGCUAGCGGCAGGCUUAACACAUGCAAGUCGAGGGGUAGAGGUCGCUUGCAACCUUGAGACCGGCGCACGGGUGCGUAACGCGUAUGCAACCUACCUUUUACAGAGGGAUAGACCAGAGAAAUAUGGAUUCACACAUCAUAGUAUAUCACCUUCGCAUGUUGGUUAUAUUAAAGAUCCAACUGUAAAAGAUUGGCAUGCGUCCUAUUAGCUAGAUGGUAAGGUAACGGCUUACCAUGGCAACGAUAGGUAGUGGUCCUGAGAGGGGGAUCCCCCACACUGGUACUGAGACACGGACCAGACUCCUACGGGAGGCAGCAGUGAGGAAUAUUGGACAAUGGGCGCAAGCCUGAUCCAGCCAUGCUGCGUGCAGGAAGAAGCAUCUAUGGUGUGUAAACUGCUUUUGUACAGGAAGAAACACCCCGACGUGUCGGGGCUUGACGGUACUGUAAGAAUAAGGAUCGGCUAACUCCGUGCCAGCAGCCGCAGUAA